rnacentral:rRNA from 1 species
GCCAGACUCCUACGGGAGGCAGCAGUGGGGGAUAUUGCACAAUGGGGGGAACCCUGAUGCAGCGACGCCGCGUGGGUGAAGGAGCGUUUCGGCGCGUAAAGCCCUAUCGGCAGGGAAGAAGGAGGACGGUACCUGACUAAGAAGCCCCGGCUAACUACGUGCCAGCAGCCGCGGUAAUACGCAGGGGGCAAGGGUUAUCCGGAUUUACUGGGUGUAAAGGGGGCGCAGGCGGCAGCGCAAGCCAGGAGUGAAAGCCCGGGGCCCAACCCCGGGACUGCUCUUGGAACUGCGCGGCUGGAGUGCAGGAGGGGCAGGCGGAAUUCCUGGUGUAGCGGUGAAAUGCGUAGAUAUCAGGAGGAACACCGGUGGCGAAGGCGGCCUGCUGGACUGCGACUGACGUUGAGGCCCGAAAGCGGGGGGAGCAAACAGGAUUAGAUACCCCUGUA